GGGGAUUUAGCUUAGUGGCAUAAGCACCUGCCUUGCAAGUGUGUGGUCGUGAGUUCAAUCCCCA
rnacentral:tRNA from 1 species